UACAUUCUUCGGGGCAGGGUGCAAUUCCCGACCGGCGGUGACAAAUAUACCCUAUUUGAAGUCCGUGACCCGCAUAACGCGGUGGAGCCAGUGUGAGUCUGGCGCCGACAGUUAAAGUCUGGAUGUGAGAAGAAAACC
rnacentral:ncRNA from 2 species